CCCCCAUAUCAUAUUCAUGUUAUUAUUUACCUUUCAUAGACGGCGGCUUGUCGAUGAAGAAGUCUCCGUCCCACACGAUGGAGAAGUCCACUGGGAGGUCUCCAGCCUCGUCCCCUUCGUACCAGUACUGUGGACACACACACAGGUUGCUGGUGACCUUACGUCAUUUAUUAGUUCUGCUUCAAUGGAAACAUCGUCCACUGCUCCAGCCAAUAGGACGGACCCUAGAAACGACUUAACAGGAGCUAACAAUAUGCUAGCUUUAAGCUAACGGUAUACUAGCCUCAUGCUAACAUUAUACGACAUAAAACGUUAUUUUAUCAUCCAACAUGCUAGUGCUGAGGUAACGCUAGGACCACGCAACCGUUAUGCUAGCAUUAAGCAAGAGAUCUCCUAGCAUCAUGCUAACGUAAAGCAAACUCUUGUGUUGUCAUGGCAGCUGCCCGUCUCCACGGCAACCGAUCAGAAGCCGCCAGAGAAACAACACAAUGGAUUUGGAGCUGAUGGGAACCGGAUCUACCUGCUGGUCUCAUCUUAGAUAAACAGUGUGUGUCUGUGUGUGUGUCUGUGUGUGUGUCUGUGUGUGUGUGUGUCUGUGUGUGUCUCUGUGUUUGUGUGAAGAGAAGAAUACGACUCGUCCCUGAGCGCUGCUGAAAAGAUAGACCUGAGUAUGUCCACACACACACACACACACACACAAGAACAAUGAAGAACAGUAGAACAGUAUGUGUGUGUGUGUGUGUGUGUGUGUUGUUUAAAAAGCUCCUUUUGUAUCAUUCAGAUCCGCACAGAAGCUUCAUGUUCCAUUGAUCAACAUUAUUGAUCCUUCUUAUACUGUCCAGCUGUCUUUGAACUCACCACCAUGUGGGAUCAACACACCUUUAAACAUUCAUAUAAAAAGGAGAAGUAGAGGAGGGGGAAACAAGGAAAGAGGAGGCAAAGGGAAGGAGAAGGAGAGGAAACAAGGAAAGAGGAGGCAAAGAGAAGGAGAAGGGAGGAAACAAGGAAAGAGGAGGCAAAGAGAAGGAGAAGGGAGGAAACAAGGAAAGAGGAGGCAAAGAGAAGGAGAAGGGAGGAAACAAGGAAAGAGGAGGCAAAGAGAAGGAGAAGGGAGGAAACAAGGAAAGAGGAGGCAAAAAGAAGGAGAAGGAGAGCAGGGAGGAAACAAGGAAAACAGUAAACAACAGUCAUUUCCUCAUAGACGUCUAUGGGAGCAGAGGAGUCGCCCCCUGCUGGUCACUACACAGAAGUCAUUGUUUCAUAGACUUCUAUGCAGACUUUUAGACUCUUAGCUCUAGAAUACUUAUCCUCAAGAGGAAUUUCCUUUUCUAUAAGAACAGUCCAUUCAGCAAAUUAACCUAAAACCCAAGAAAACACUAAUGCUUUUAUUUUGAAGUCUGAGCUGUGUGUGUGUGUGUGUGUGUGUGUGUGUGUGUGUGUGCACGCACUAUUGUACUAAUGGCCAAUUUCCUCUGGGAAUAGUAAGUUAAUUAAAUACAGACACACACUAACUGACCAUCUGUGUGUGUGUGUGUGUGUGUGUGUGUGAGACAGGAAGACAGAACAGGAAAUGAGCUUGAGCAGGGAGACAAUGUGUGUGUGCGCUGUCCACCUGACCCCUGGAGGUCAGAGGUCAACCAGAGAGAAGGAGGGCUACUUGUGCUCGUCUAAUAUGUGAUACUAUUACUAUAUGUACUACUAAUACUGCAAUAUGUAAUACUAGUACUGCUAUAUGUACUACUAAUACUAUCAAGUAUCAAUGGUACUACUUCCAAUAGUACUACAGGUGCUCAUACUUCCACAAAUAAAACUACCCAGGAGUCAGUAGUAGUGGUACAACAAGUAGUGGAGUCUAAGGCCACAUACAGAGAGGUCUCUGAAGGACUGGCCCACUCGCUUCUAACGCACCAAUAUUAGGAUCAAUCAAACGCUUGAUGAGUGGACACGUCUGGAGGAAUCCAUGCUCUCCAUUAGCAGAAUUACGUUGGGUUUGGAACAAGAAGGUUGGCAGCUCAUUCUCUCAGCGUGAUUUCCUUCUCAGUGACAGGAAAGUGACGCUGCCUGGAUCCUUUCACAGACCCGUUCCAGCAGAGAGCCUGACGCGUGGCAGUGCGCUGCCUGGACCUUUGGCAGAAUGCUUUCAUGUGCACACGUGGUCUCUUGUUCAGGGUGCGGAGAUGAUCAGUGAGAUCAACUAGAAAAGCCAGGUCUGCCCCAUAAAGGCUCCGUCAUCUCCUUCCCUUUUCUUUCAGAAAACGUGUCAAUAUUUGAUGUCAGGGAAUAAAGCGGCUGCAGCACCUCAGGGCGCUGAAGUAGGUCCGUGUUCAGCAUCAGAGAGGAGCGCUUGAAAUGCUCGCUGCUAAAGCCCUCGUGCCCAAUUACGUUCCACUAAGAACGACACCAGUCCAUUACAUUUAUAGACCUUGAUGCCGUUGGCCCGCGGGCCGUAGUUUGGACACCCGUCCUACUCCAAUAGUGAGGAGAGAAGGCCGACACAAAAUGAAUCCACCAACUGAAGUCCCGCCCCCCGGCCCAGAGCAUGCUGGGUAGCGUAGUCCCCCUCACCGAGGUGUUCUGGCACUGGAUGCAGGACGAGUUGAAGCGGACCGCCGGGAUGCGCUGGACUUUCCCCUGAAUGUGGAAGACGCACUCGUAGUUCUUCUGACCCGACUGCGGCUGAGGGAGGUUCCGGGCGCGCAGCGUGAUUGGUCGAACCAUCCCGGCCGGGACCAGGAUGUCGGCGGUGGGGAGGAUCUGAGGGCAGCCCUGGGGGGGUAAAACACAUCCCAGUGCUUCAGAGCAUUUCUUUGCUUUCAGGUUGAUAUAAAAAGAAACAAACCACUCGAUAAAUGAUUAAAGACACAAAAGAUGACGUUCUUACAUGAAUAUAGUACAUCGACAUUUGUAUAUAUUACAUAGUAUAUUUGAUAGUUGAGGCUUUCAUUCAUUUAAUGAUUUAUUUCUUAUAACCGUAAAUAAAAUCUAUAAAUAAAUAAUAAUAUAUAUAUAAUAAAUAAAAAAAGAACGAAUUGGAGAAAUAAGAGCUUAAAAUAUUAAAUCAAUGUGCAGAUUGAUUUAAAAGUAAAGUCAAAUACACGCAAUAGAAUUAAAUCAUUUGUAUUCAUUGGUAAAUAAUAAGCAAACAAAUAAAUACUAAAAUAAGUUCAUAAUAUCAUUUUAUUCAUUUAUUUUACGACCAGCCUUUGAGGUUUUUAUUUCUACAUUUCACUUUUUUAUUCUUGAAUCAUUUAUAUAUCUAGAAGGUGUGGUCAUCAAUAAAAUACAUGUCUAAAUAAAAGGACGCUGAUGCAUAAGAGAUGACAUCAUGGGCUCAGGAGUGAGACACUUUCACUUCACACACACUUCAUCCGUUAUUACGAUCAAUUAUUGAUCAGAGAAGCUUUGAACGCGGCAGCAUCACAAAUUAUUAAUCACCCUUUUAUGUGUUUGUAUUAGCCGACCUGUCAAUCAAUUUGGGAACCUGUGGCUUGAGGGUCGGCGGAUUUACUAAAUUAUUAACGAGGGUUUGAAGAAAAUGAUUUUAUAUAUAAAAUAUGAAAUUCAAAGGUUAUAUUGACAGAAUUAUGACAUCACAUUACAGGUCAUUUAGCUGACGCGACUUACAUCACACUUUGAACACACGGCUUUAUACAUUUUGCCCGGGGAGCAAUUAGGGGUCAGGUGUCUUGCUCAGGGACACUUGGACAUGGGACAUGGGGCAGCCGGGACUCGAACCGCCAACCUUGCGGUUUCCAGCGUUCCCUCUCUACCCCGGCGCCACGUCGACCCCUUGAGAUUGGGAAUAAUCUUUAUAUGGAUUAUUUAGAAUAUAUUCUGGAUCUAAUUGUGUGUAUUAAGUCAUAAGGUAACACAGUUAAAAGUACACAAAGACUCUUGUUGUGUCUUUAUUAAUGAUCUUUAUUAGUGACAGGAAGACAUCAGCCCCACAGGAAGUGGACGAGACAGCCGACGCCAUCAGCGAACCGUGUGUGUGUGACAGUGAGACUGUGUGUGUGUGUCAGUGUGUGUGUUCGUGUGUGUGACAGUGAGACUGUGUGUGUGUGUGUGUGUGUCAGUGUGUGUGUGUGUGAGACUGACAGUGAGACUGUGUGUGUGUGUGUGUGUGUUUUGAAGAUAAAGACCCACUGUGGCUCUGAACAGUAGCUCACCUGUUAGAGACCAUUUUUGAGACACUGAAGAAGAGGAGGAGUAAGAGGGAGAGGAGGAGGAAGAAAAAAGGAGGAAGAGGAGGAAAGUGAGACUGUAAAAGAGUGAUGAACAACCUUUAGAUCAACUGAACGCCGAAUUUGUAUUAUUAUAUAAAUGAAUAAUAUUAUUUUGUUUUCUAACCAGGAUCCUGUUUUAUUGUGAAAAUCCCCCUGCUUCCUGUCCCUGUGUGUGUGUCUCCCCUCUGUGUAGUCAGACUAAUUGCCUGGUAUUUAACAUGAAUUGCUGUGUUUGGGUGCUUACGUGUCAAUUAAGUGUCUAUUCAUGUUCCAUCGGCCAUUUAGCCAAUUAGAGGUCGUUAGUGAGCGAUGUCACCGAGCACCAAUCACGUGUUCCGGGAGCCCGAUCGCUAACGAGCUGAUCACUCUUAUUAUGAGGUGUCAUCAUCUCAUCUAAAUAAUUCACUUUUUGAUUUGAUUCUCAUUAAACCCACACAAGUGGGGAAGUAACCAUGAAGAGA
ensembl:lncRNA